UAGUACUUUCUCUCCACAGUUUUUUACCUGUCUGCUGGUGAUAUUUGCCGCCGAAGUAACAACUGGAGUAUUUGCUUUUAUAGGCAAGGACGUAGCUAUACGGCAUGUACAGACCAUGUAUGAGGAGGCAUACAGCGAUUACCUUAAAGACAGGGGAAGAGGAAAUGGUACUCUCACUACCUUCCACUCAGCAUUUCAGUGCUGUGGGAAAGAAAGUUCCGAACAAGUCCAGCCCACCUGCCCAAAGGAGCUUCCAGACCACAAGGUAAGCUGGAUGUUCUGGAAUCCCCCCCCACCACCACCACCAG